rnacentral:rRNA from 1 species
UACAGAGGUCCCAAGCGUUGUUCGGAUUCACUGGGCGUAAAGGGUGCGCAGGUGGGCUGGUAAGUUCGAUGUGAAAGCCCCGGGCUUAACCCGGGAAAGGCAUUGGAUACUACUGGUCUGGAGGAUUGGAGGGGGGACUGGAAUUCUUGGUGUAGCAGUGAAAUGCGUAGAUAUCAAGAGGAACACCAGUGGCGAAGGCGAGUCCCUGGACAAUACCUGACACUGAGGCACGAAAGCCAAGGGAGCAAACAGG